GUCCCUAUCUCUUAAGAGGUCCAGAGUCUUGGAAAGUCCACAGUACUUUGAAAGCUUGAUGUUUCCUUACUGCCACCAAAGGAGUGUAGGAAAAAUCUGAAAUCCCCCAGAUUGGAAAAUAUCCUGUGAAUACACAUUUUUCUGACUGCUCCAUGUCAUCAGAUGUCUUUAUCUUCAGCUGCAGUUCUCUGAGAGAUACUGGGGUAUGCAGGAUGCAGAAGAAGGUCUUAGUUUCACUGCACAGUUUGACAGACAGCUGUCAGGUGAGGUUUACGAAAAUGUAUGAACCCAAAGUAUGCCAUGAGGACUCUGGGAUAUCCCCAUCCCUAUAAGACUCUGGAAGAAAUAUAACCAUGGGUCAGAUUCCUCCUGCCCUGCUUGGUACUGGAAUAAAAUGUGUCUUCCACCACCUAACUCGUGGGGCUUCUCACUCAGGCAAAUCUUGCUAUGAUGCUUUCUCUUCAAGAGUGCCACCAUGCAGACAAGAAAGGGAGCCUGGAGCAAGACUACACAUCCCAGUAUGUCCCACACCAUAUGGGAUGGUGCGGGAGACAUCUGCCCAGUGCUUGAUCAGUCGGUUUGGGGAGUGUCUCCCAGCUGCACUCCUGACGCUCCUCUCUUGUGGCCUACUAUUUUUCUGUUGUUUUUCAUGUUGCAGUGUCAUCCUCCAGAGGCACUUACAGCUUUAUAUGUUUACUUUCCACCUUUCCCACCCUUUGUGGGGCAUUGUCACCCAACAGAAGUCUGGAAAAAAGAAGGUCAUUGAAGGCCAGAUGGAAGAUUUCCCUGAUAUCGGUAGCAGCAAGCAUAAUAAGAGACUUGGCUUUAACUUCUGCAGUACAGCAGAGGAACCUUCUGAAAUGGAGAUGGUUUUAGCAGCACAAGAAUUGUCCUUGGCAUGCAAGCCCAUGAACUAUACUCACUCUUUUUGGUAUGAUUGAGAAGAAACUGGAGAUGGAAGCAUACUCUGUGACCUGGAACAGCUGGUGGUACCAUGAAAGGAAGUGAUAUUGGGACUCAUAGCUGUUGGAGUGGGUUUGUACUGAGGCCAGAGCUGCUGUGCAGAUCUGCUCACAAGCUGGAAAAACAACCAGUGGGCCUAUUAUUACUGUUAUUAUUGGAGAGGGUAAGAAAAAGGCAUAUGUCCAUUUCAGAGCUUAAAAGCAUUAACAAUCUCCAUAAUAUGCAGUGCUGUUCUUGCUGACAUGAUUAGUUUUCAAAAGAGUCUGCAUGAUCAUCAGAUUUUGAAAAUAUAAGAAAUUAUUUCCUAGAAACCUUCCUUUACAAAAUUGGUUAGUUAAAUGUUGUGUAAAUUAUACUCCUGUUGUUUUAAUCCACGGGCUAUUAGCAGACAUUGGGGUAUCACAGUAAUGCUGUGCACAGAGAAUCAAUUUAUGAUUAUCCUGUACUGUUUUUCAAUGACCUGAAAUUGUGCACUGAACAGGAACAUAUAUUGUUUUAAUUAUCUUGGUCACACUCUCAGCUUUAUAAAACUUGCUGCAGGUUCAUCAACUCAGAUCCAGGUAUAAUUCAUAUUGGUCACAAGAAUAUUAUUUAAGAAUAUAAUGGCACC
rnacentral:lncRNA from 1 species